rnacentral:rRNA from 1 species
UUGAACGCUGGCGGCAUGCUUUACACAUGCAAGUCGAACGGUAACAGGUUAAGCUGACGAGUGGCGAACGGGUGAGUAAUGCAUCGGAACGUGCCCGAUCGUGGGGGAUAACGCAGCGAAAGCUGCGCUAAUACCGCAUACGAUCUGAGGAUGAAAGCGGGGGACCGUAAGGCCUCGCGCGAUCGGAGCGGCCGAUGUCAUAUUAGGUAGUUGGUGGGGUAAAGGCUCACCAAGCCGACGAUCUGUAGCUGGUCUGAGAGGACGACCAGCCACACUGGGACUGAGACACGGCCCAGACUCCUACGGGAGGCAGCCGUGGGGAAUUUUGGACAAUGGGGGCAACCCUGAUCCAGCCAUGCCGCGUGAGUGAAGAAGGCCUUCGGGUUGUAAAGCUCUUUCAGACGGAAAGAAAACGCAUCGGUGAAUACCCGGUGUGGAUGACGGUACCGUAAGAAGAAGCACCGGCUAACUACGU